rnacentral:lncRNA from 1 species
GAGCAUCUUUAAAUUUAAGGGUCCAUGGGUACAAGAUAUAUUUUAUAAUGCACACACUCACUCAGAAGGUUUGCCAAGUGAAACAAUUUUGAUCAUUUUUAGUUUUGAAUCUUCUUAGUUUUUCAUCAAAGCUCCUACAGUUACUUGAACUUAAAUUCCUCUCAAUUGCAAGAGGCCCCACUAAGAUUGUGCACAUGCUGUGGAAUAGUGUGUGUGUGUGUGUGUGUGUGUGUGUGUGUGUGUGUGUGUCUUCAGAGGUAAAAGUAAGGUAAAGAUUGUGCCAAAGCCCGCAUUGCUGACAUUUACGUCUUCUCUUCAGCCCUCUUAAAUUUUUGUCACACAGGAAUAGGUGCCGUAUUCUGGGAGCAUGUUGCCAGCACCAGUUCUUCCUAACAUAAAGUUGAAUCCAAUUCUACACAAUCAGAGUUCCACUCACACAAUACUUCCCUUUCCUCCUCUUCCCAUGCCCACCCCUUCUAAUGUGCUCCAUAAAGUCCCACAACCCUGGAGCAGAUUUCAAAGGUCUAUUUCCCCCUCUUUUAGAUGUGGUAGAUGUUUUGUGUUAGGACAUGCCUCUACACCAGCCAUUUUGCCUUAUGCCACACCCCUGUGGCACCAUUGUGCAACUGGUGUCACUGCUGUCCAGAGCAUGUUCUCAAAAUUUCACAUGUGCUCAGUGACGCAAAAAUUGUUGGCAACCCCUGCCCUAACUUAUUCUUAUAGGGCUUAAUCAUAGCAUAUACCUGUACUGGUCCUCUUGGGACCGUAAGCCUUUUCAUAAGAAGAGUGUCAUUCACACUAUUGGCUUCAUAUGUGCUUCUGAGAGGAGAAGGGAGAGAGAGAGAGAUGUCAUUUAAUCCCCCCCCCCCCAUAGUUAGCUGGAUGCACCAGUGUUGGAAUUAUACAGUUUCAAAGGACUUAUAAGUUUUAAAAAAGCAAACCCUUUAAGCUCAUCAGGUAGUGGUGGUUCCUCACUAAGGUACAGCAGUAUUUGAUAAGUUUCCUGUGACAACACAUAUUUAUAAUAAAACUUAUACCCUGUCUUUCAAGACACAUUCCAACUCAAGAUGGUGCCAAAGUAUAAAAUCAGCAAUAUAAAAUACAAGUAAAAACAGCAGAUGUGUAUAGUAUAGCGAUAUGGGUACAAACCCUAUUAGGACACAUUUUUGGAAGCCCACUGACAGCCUUCUUGGCUAAAGAUCAGGGUAUAAAUGCUGUAAACAAAAUACACACUGGAAAAAGUCCAUCCUCUCGUUCCCCACCAUCCAAUAUCACUCUGGCAACAUUGGGAAGGGCCUCAGAGGCUGAGAAACGUCAUGAAGCAGGCUCCUACUUUACGCACCUCAAAUCACAGUGAAUGUCUGUCUAUGUAAAGUGUUUCCUUCCCCCCCCCCCAGGCACAGAACGCUGGGUUUGAGUGCUACAAAAACAGGGUGACUGCAACAAGUGUAACUUCAUGUUAACAGGUGUGGAUGCUUGACAUAAAGAGGAACAAGUCCAUGUUUGACCCUCUUCAGAAGAAUUCCACAUGCAUGCUCCCAACACAUGAGAGGGGAACUGGGCCAGAAUAAAUAGCUCUUCCCCUACAUGCCCACUAAAUAGUCCCCCCCCAACUGUUUUCUAUAUGUACGGUACAAACAUCUGCAAGGACAGGGCCUUCAUGUAUUGUGCAAAGAUUUAUCCUCUUGAUCUGGAGCACGUGGAAGCAUUUUUGCGUACAAGAACAGGUGUGAAGACCUGCUGCAUGUACAUGUUCACACCUGCAUGUGUCAGUAGCAGUAGGAUGGGCUACUUGACCCUGAUCCAAUUUUUGGAGAACACCUGUGACAAACGCAGCAAAUGCUGAGUGAGUGAUAGAUGUGAAUCUGGAACAUGCCUGUGAGAUCUGAGUACUCUGACAUCUGCAUAUGUGCAUUGGCUUACUGCUCACUUUCACAUAGGGAUGUACAAUGGUAUUUUUUUGCGGGGCGGGGGGUUACUCAGUUUAUUUUCAGUAUUGAAUGUUUUAUUUGUUUCCUUUUUGUUCUUUUUCAUAACUUUGGAACUAUUUCAUUUUGUUUCCAUUAGUGCCGUUUGUAUUUGCUAUUAUUUUCGGGGGGGGGGGGGGGGGCUAGCCAGUAUUCUGCUGCCUGUACCUUUGGUAUUGAAGAUACAUCCAGAGUUCCCCCUAUUCCUUGAAAGCAUCAAAAAGUCAAUACUGCAGAUAUAUUAGAAAAAGAUUUCCUGCUUUAGAAGGAGUUUUAAAAGAGGCAUAUCCUUUAUGUUUCUUAUUGCUUUCCAUAGGAGAUCCAGUUCUUCUUCUGCUUGUAAGUUCUAUGUUUUCCAUCCUAUUGGAUGGCAUGAAAUGGUUAUGCAUUUUAAUACUAUCUCCCAAGUCAUCCGAUUUCAAUAAUAAUAAUAAUAAUAAUAAUAAUAAGGCAUAGCAAGGGGUCACCAUUUUAUAAGUAAUCUAAAAAUGACACUGUGUUCUUGCUCUCUUCAAUCCUCUUGUAACCCUUCUGUGACUUGUAUGGGCUGUUCUAGGAGGGCUUCAAUUGAAAUGAAAUAAAACUUUCCAUUUAG